AUUGAACGCUGGCGGUAUGCCUAACACAUGCAAGUCGAACGGCAGCACAAUCAAACCUUGCUCUUACGUGUGGCGAGUGGCAGGCGGGAGAAAUAUACAUCGAAAUCUACUUUUGCGUGGGGGAAAACGUCGGGAAACUAACUCUUAUACCACAUACGACCUAGGUGUGAGAGGAGGGCAUCAUCGGACCUUGCUCUAUUGACUGAGCCGAUGUCGGAUUAGCUAGUUGGCGGGGUAAAGGCCCACCAAGGCGACGAUCCGUAGCUGGUCUGAGAGGAUGAUCAGCCACACUGGAACUGAGACACGGCCCAGACUCCUACGGGAGGCAGCAGUGGGGAAUAUUGGACAAUGGGCGAAAGCCUGAUCCAGCAAUACCGCGUGGGUGAAGAAGGCCUUCGGGUUGUAAAGCACUUUUGUCGGGAAAGAAAAGCAGCAGGUUAAUACCUGGCUGUGAUGACGGUACCCAAAGAAUAAGCACCGGCUAACUUCGUG
rnacentral:rRNA from 1 species